ACCAAAUUCUUUAAAGAAAAGUCUUGACAUAAAUUCAAAAAUUAUAGUCUCAUUAUAUUCUGAAUGUGCAAAAUUAUGGCACAGCAGUGAGAGGAGCUGAUGACUCAGAGGACAGACAGCCAGAGUCUGUGACGUCACCAAUACCGCAGCCUUGCCUGUGUUUACUUAACAUUCAUAAACACCCGCACGAGGAACACAAAACAGCUGAACCAAGACAUCUCUACACAGAUUGUCUGGUGAGUUUGCUGGCCAGUCAAGCACGCUAACACCAUGGUCACUUUUUGCAGUGUGGGUAGGUUCCAAAGCCGUCAGCAGAAGGAAGCAUAAAGUGCUCCAAAAUUUCUUGGUAAAUGGGGGAUACUGUCUGUGGUUCAGGAGGAAUUCAACAA
rnacentral:lncRNA from 1 species